rnacentral:lncRNA from 1 species
UCUGACAAAGCUCCAAGAGGGGAGACUGACAGCUCCAAAACCAAAACAAAAUGAGAGGAGCAAGAGCACAGCCAAAUACGGGGAGCAAAGAAGGGGUAAACUCGAGCAAACAACAGAAAAAGAAGAAAGAAAUUACAAUAGACAGCUUCUGCACAGGUAAUGAGCAAAGAGCGAAUGAAACAGAGGGGGAGGACCCAGCAAAGAAAAAAUCAGAAAUCCCAGCGAAUUGGAUACAGGCUUUGGAAGAACUCAAAAUGCAAUUCAAAACACAAUUAAGAGAGGCUGAAGACAAUUGGGAAAAGAACUUAAAAACUAAGAUAAGUCAUCUGGAAACAGAAAAUAGUAUCUUGAAAGCCAAAAUCAACCAGCUGGAAAAUGAGGCAAAGGAGAUGAAAGAUGAGGCAAAGCAGAUGAAAGAUGAGGUGAAGAAGAUGAAAGAUGACCUCCAAAGAAAAUCCGACCAAGAGGAAAAGGACGACCAAAAAACUAAGGAUGAAAUCCAGUCUUUAAGAACCAGAAUACAACAACUUGAAUCGAGCGACCUCACAAGGCAGCAAGACACUAUAAAACAAAACCAAAAGAAUGAAAAAAUUGAGGAAAAUAUGAAGCAUCUAAUUCACAAAACAGAGGAUUUAGAAAAUCGUUCAAGGAGAGACAAUUUAAGAAUUAUUGGCCUACCAGAAGACCAUGACAAAAGAAAAAGCCUGGACAUUAUAUUACAAGAAAUUAUUAAAGAAAACUGCCCCAAAAUCCUUGAAUAAGAGGGAAAAGUGGAGAUUAAUAGAAUCCAGAGAUCACCUCCUGUUUAAUCCCCAACUGACAACACCCAGGAAUGUUAUAGCCAAAUUCAAGAACUAUAAGACCAAAGAAAAGAUAUUACAAGCUGCCAAGAAGUCAUUCAGAUACCAAGGAACCACAGUGAGGAUAACUCAGGAUCUGGCUGCAUCCACACUGAAAAAAAGAAAGGAAUGGAAUACGAUAUUCCGGAAAGCAAGGGAACUAGGUCUACAACCAAGAAUCCACUACCCAGCAAAACUGACUAUAUUCUUACAGGGAAAAAGUAUGGU